AGGAUGAACGCUGGCGGUAUGCUUAACACAUGCAAGUCGAACGGUCUCUUCGGAGAUAGUGGCGGACGGGUGAGUAACGCGUGAGAAUCUAGCUCUAGGUCGGGGACAACCACUGGAAACGGUGGCUAAUACCGGAUGUGCCGGAAGGUGAAAGAUUAAUUGCCUAGAGAUGAGCUCGCGUCUGAUUAGCUAGUAGGUGUGGUAAGAGCGCACCUAGGCGACGAUCAGUAGCUGGUCUGAGAGGAUGAUCAGCCACACUGGGACUGAGACACGGCCCAGACUCCUACGGGAGGCAGCAGUGGGGAAUUUUCCGCAAUGGGCGAAAGCCUGACGGAGCAAUACCGCGUGAGGGAGGAAGGCUCUUGGGUUGUAAACCUCUUUUCUCAGGGAAGAAAAAAAUGACGGUACCUGAGGAAUAAGCAUCGGCUAACUCCGUGCCAGCAGCCGCGGUAAUACGGAGGAUGCAAGCGUUAUCCGGAAUGAUUGGGCGUAAAGCGUCCGCAGGUGGCUAUGUAAGUCUGCUGUUAAAGAGUGAGGCUCAACCUCAUAAGAGCAGUGGAAACUACAUAGCUAGAGUGCGUUCGGGGCAGAGGGAAUUCCUGGUGUAGCGGUGAAAUGCGUAGAGAUCAGGAAGAACACCGGUGGCGAAAGCGCUCUGCUAGGCCGCAACUGACACUGAGGGACGAAAGCUAGGGGAGCGAAUGGGAUUAGAUACCCCAGUAGUCCUAGCCGUAAACGAUGGAUACUAGGCGUGGCUUGUAUCGACCCGAGCCGUGCCGUAGCUAACGCGUUAAGUAUCCCGCCUGGGGAGUACGCACGCAAGUGU
rnacentral:rRNA from 1 species